CUAGGGAAUAUUCAUCUAGGCUCUAAUUGGAAGGAAAUAGCUGCCAUGUAAAAACAGGAUUUUAAUUUAAAUACUAAGCUUUCUAUCUUAACAUUUACUCAUUUUUAAAAAUACGUAUUUGUUUUUUCACGUAUUUAAAAUUUAAAAGCAAAGAAACUUAAUUGAUUGCAUAGUUAACUCAGUCCUCCUAGUUAUUCAUGGAUUGUUAAGGAAAGAUUUUCUUUUCACUUCCUAAACACCUUUACAAUUUAGAAACACUGAAUCCAAAGUAGAAAAUUUCCGUCCCUAUAGAAAAGUCAAAACUGUCCAAAAAUUUUUUUUCAAAGGAGACUAUAAACAUUGAAAUGAAUUUUUCUUAACUUGGUGGUAUGACUAUCUCUCCAAAGAAUUAUUUUAAAAUCUCAUUAAUCACAUCUC
rnacentral:lncRNA from 1 species